UAAAUAAUUAGGCAUUACGAAACUCUCAGC
rnacentral:piRNA from 1 species